UACGUAGGGUCCGAGCGUUGUCCGGAAUUACUGGGCGUAAAGAGCUCGUAGGUGGUUUGUCGCGUUGUUCGUGAAAACUCACAGCUUAACUGUGGGCGUGCGGGCGAUACGGGCAGACUGGAGUACUGCAGGGGAGACUGGAAUUCCUGGUGUAGCGGUGAAAUGCGCAGAUAUCGGGAGGAACACCGGUGGCGAAGGCAGGUCACUGGGCCGCAACUGACGCUGAGGAGCGAAAGCGUGGGGAGCGAACGAGG
rnacentral:rRNA from 1 species